rnacentral:misc_RNA from 1 species
GCAAACUUGGUCAUUUAGAGGAAGUAAAAGUCGUAACAAGGUUUCCGUAGGUGAACCUGCGGAAGGAUCAUUAAUGAGUUAGGGUCUUCUCGGCCCAACCUCCCAACCCUAUGUUUACUAAACCUAUGUUGCUUCGGCGGGCCCGUCACGACCGCCGGGGGACGGUACGACGUCCUCUGGCCCGCGCCCGCCGGUGGCCAAACUUAACAAAUUCUGAUUAAAAUGAGUCCUUGUCUGAGAACAAAACCUAAAUUAAAGCAAAACUUUCAACAACGGAUCUCUUGGUUCUGGCAUCGAUGAAGAACGCAGC